UGGAUAGCAGCAAUGCAAUCAUGCCACCCUGUAAAGACAGGACAUCGGGUGUUUGCACAAAGAAAGCACAGCUACCCACUGAAACUCUCCAGGUGUGACCUCCUCAUAUGGUGAGCAGCUCAAGGUCCAGAGAAGUUACGACAUUGGUGAAGCAGAGAACCAAACAAAAAGAAGACUCAGCCAACCCAUUGGGACAUCUACAGCCUAAUCCAGAACCAGAUUUCCUUGGAUAAAGAAUGAAUGCCAUGGAUGACAGACAGAUGAUGAAUAGAUAGACUAGUUAUAAAUAGACAAAUGUUAUGUAGAUGGAUAGACAGACAGACAGAUGAUAGCUUCAAAGCCUUUCCUACCUUGUGAUUUGUAAGUUCAGUAGGAAACUGGCCUAAAUUGCUAGUAUGAAGAUCUCUGUGGUGAUUAAACUAAUUUGUUAACUUGACUGGAUUUAAAAUCACCAUGGAAACACUCAUCUGAGUGUGUCUAUGAGAGUGUUUACAGAAAGGUUUAACUGAAGAAGAAAGACCAAACCUGAAUGUAAAUGUGACCAUCCUGUGGCCUGGGGAUGAAAGCAAAGCGCUAACACUGAUAAUUCCCAAGCCUCCUACUUCCUGUUUGUGGAUACACUGUGACCAUUUGAUAA